rnacentral:rRNA from 1 species
UACGGGGGGGGCAAGCGUUGUUCGGAAUUACUGGGCGUAAAGGGCUCGUAGGCGGCCAACUAAGUCGGAUGUGAAAUCCCCAGGCUCAACCUGGGAACUGCAUCCGAUACUGGAUGGCUUGAAUCCGGGAGAGGGAUGCAGAAUUCCAGGUGUAGCGGUGAAAUGCGUAGAUAUUAGGAAGAACACCAGUGGCGAAGGCGGCUCACUGGUCCGGUACUGACGCUGAGGUGCGAAAGCGUGGGGAGCAAACAGG